rnacentral:rRNA from 1 species
AGAGUUUGAUCCUGGCUCAGGAUGAACGCUAGCGGCAGGCCUUAUACAUGCAAGUCGAACGGUAACAUUGGUGCUUGCACCAGAUGACGAGUGGCGCACGGGUGCGUAACGCGUAUGCAACCUACCUUUUACUAGAGUAUAGCCCAGAGAAAUUUGGAUUAAUCCUCUAUAUCAUCUUUUAAUUUCAUGAUUAAUUGAUUAAAGUUUUAACGGUAAAAGAUGGGCAUGCGUCCUAUUAGUUUGUAGGUGAGGUAACGGCUCACCUAGACUACGAUAGGUAGGGGCCCUGAGAGGGGGAUCCCCCACACUGGUACUGAGACACGGACCAGACUCCUACGGGAGGCAGCAGUAAGGAAUAUUGGACAAUGGACGAAAGUCUGAUCCAGCCAUGCCGCGUGCAGGAUGAAAGCCCUAUGGGUUGUAAACUGCUUUUAUACAGGAAGAAACACUCCGACGUGUCGGAGCUUGACGGUACUGUAAGAAUAAGGAUCGGCUAACUCCGUGCCAGCCGCCGCGGUAAUUC